CAGGCCAGAGCUUUAUAAUUGAUUGGGAGAUAUCAGAGGUUUUUUGAAAUAUUUUUUUCUUAUCUCAAUAAAGAUUUAUAACAAGGAACAUUAGCUUUCAUUUUGGUCUCUAUUUGUGCUGUUCCUGAAUGUUUGAAUACAGCACCAGUGCCGUCAUGUGAAUUAAUGGACAAUUAUGCUUGAAAGACCUAUAGCUGGGAGGGAAGGCCAACUCACUUUGGGAGGAAUGUACUCCUGAAAUUGAGGAGCCAAGAGAAACCACGCAUAAGGAUCAGCUGCUGCUUUUAUAUUUGCCAGAGAGCCCUCUGUGGAGAAAACUGGAAGAGGAAGGAAUCAAAUACCCAAGUUGGCUCAAGUUGCAAUGCACUAAGAGUUGCCUUUUGGAUCUGGUACUGGGAGAAGAGGAGGUGAGCUGGUGAGGGAGUGGGAAAAUUUGUGGUGG